UAAUAGUGUUGAUAUUACUCUUCAUGUGUGUGUGUAAUGCAGGGUAUUUGGUCAGGGUUGAUUGCAGGCAUAGUUUUGCAGACAAUAAUCCUUAUUGUAAUCACUUCAAUAACCAAUUGGAAAAAAGAGGCUGAAGAAGCAGAGGGUCGUGUGAGAAAAUGGGGAGGAACAAUUGCAUAUGAUCAAUGAUUUUGUUUUUUGCUUUUCUUUCCUUUUCUUCAUGGCAGUGGAGAAUUAGACUUAGAGUCCAUGAAUUGUACCAAUAAUGAAGAACUUCAUAUUUUAGGCAUAUGUUUGAGUGAGAUUUUACAAAUUUUGUUUUAGAUUAUAGGCCCAUUUUUAUAGUUUUUGCUAAUAGAAAAAGCUACUUCUUCCUAA